GUUUGUAUAGUUUAAAUUAAAACAUUAUAUUUUCAUUAUAAAAAUGAGCCUGCUCUUCGAACU
rnacentral:tRNA from 1 species